CACAAGGGUAAUCCUGGCCCUUAAAUUAGGGAUAACCUCGCGAAAGCGAAGCUAAUACCUGAUAAGACUACGACCUCUUAGGUGGUUGUAGGAAAAGAUGGCCUCUGUUUCGAAGCUAUCGUUUAAGGAUGAGCCCUUGCACUAUUAGCUUGUUGGUGGGGUAAUGGCCCACCAAGGCUACGAUGGUUAGUUGGUCUGAGAGGAUGACCAGCCACACUGGAACUGAGACACGGUCCAG
rnacentral:rRNA from 1 species